GGAGAGGUACCGAAGGGGUUAUAACGGCGCCGACUCGAAAUCGGUUGGGGAAUUUUAAGUUCCCACGCGGGUUCGAAUCCCGCCCUCUCCG
rnacentral:tRNA from 1 species